UACAGAGGUCUCAAGCGUUGUUUGGAUUCAUUGGGCGUAAAGGGUGCGUAGGUGGCGGGGUAAGUCAGGUGUGAAAUCUCGGAGCUCAACUCCGAAACUGCACUUGAUACUGCCUUGCUUGAGUACUGGAGAGGAGAUUGGAAUUUACGGUGUAGCAGUGAAAUGCGUAGAUAUCGUAAGGAAGACCAGUGGCGAAGGCGAAUCUCUGGACAGUUACUGACACUGAGGCACGAAGGCCAGGGGAGCAAAUGGG
rnacentral:rRNA from 1 species